AUUCUACAAAAUAUCUUUAUGUGCCCAAAGCAUAUUCUGAGUGGAAGAGUUUGAAUUUGGGCAAAACAAUUUGAAUUUCAAAAUCCCAAUUUGGUGGAAAUUCCUAUUUGAAUUGGGGCAGCUUAGAAAUUCAAAAAUUACCUUUGAUUUUUCUCAAUAACUUGAAAAAUUCCCAAAAUAAAAGUUGUUAAAGUUGAGGAUCUCUACAACUUUCAUGUUGGUCACUAUUCAAGAUUCCAAGCAGAUUUUGAAUUAGGGAUUCAAAUUGGAAAAGGGGAC
rnacentral:lncRNA from 1 species